AUGGAAGAGAACCCCUCCUGGUGCUUUGGGAAGCACUACCGGAGCGUCAAACAGCUGGAAAUUGUCGGGGCGUGCGAGGACGAGUUCGGGGUGCCCAACGACCUGCAUCUUCCUGAUCUGCACCUCCUCCCGCACAACCUCAGACGGCUGAAAAUUAGUUGUCCUAAUCUGCUGAAUGAUGAAGACCCCAUGCCAUUACUUGGGAGCUGGCUGACGUUCCUGAAUGUGUUGGAAAUAGGGGUCAAGUCAUACACUGGCGCGACCAUGACCUGCCCUUCUGGUGGGUUUCCAGACCUGCACAAUUUGGUGCUCCACGAUCUGGAUAUCGAGGAGUGGAUAUUGGAGGAUGGUGCCAUGCCAAGGCUCAGGAUACUAACUCUCUGCAAGUGCACCAAGCUGAAGACACUUCCACAAGGAUUGCAGCAUCUGAAGGAACUUAAGAAGCUGAAAGUGAUAGCGAUGCCCGAGUUGGAUCAAGUAUUAUGCUACCUGCUCCACAAGGCCGGACGCGAGGUUGUCCUCAGGUCGAGUGAGGAGGACUUUGAGCAUGUACAGAUCCCCAAGUAUGACAUGUAA
rnacentral:rRNA from 1 species